rnacentral:rRNA from 2 species
UUGGGGAUUUAUAUAAAAGGUUGGGCCUGCCCGGUGAUCUGAAAUGGUUUUACGGCUGCGAUUGAAACCGUACUAAGGUAGCAUAAUAAUUUGCCCUUUAAUUGGGGGAGAGAAUGAAUGGUUUGACGGUAAAAAAGCUGUUUUAAAAAUAAAAAAAGAAGUUAACUUUUAAGUGAAAAGGCUUAAGUUUUUAUAAAAGACGAGAAGACCCCGUCGAGCUUAAUUAGAAUAACUUAAAUGUAGGUUAUUUAAAAUUUUAUUGGGGCAAUAGAAAAUGAAAUGAAUCAUUUUUUUUAUUAUAAGGAUCCAGUUUUGACUGAAAAAAGCAAAAGCUACCGCGGGGAUAACAGGGUAAUUUUUUCUGAGAGUUCAUAUUUAAGAAGAAGUUUGCUACCUCGAUGUUGGAUUAAAAUUUCUUUAUGCUUGCAGCAGGUAUAAUAGU